rnacentral:rRNA from 1 species
CAGGAGGACAACCCGCCGAAAGGCGGGCUAAACCCGCGUACAUGCCACCGGGGCAUCCCGGAGGCAGGAAAGGCUUCGGCCGGACAGGGAUGGGCAUGCGGCGCAUUAGGCAGUAGGCGGGGUAACGGCCCACCUAACCGACGAUGCGUAGGGGUUCUGAGAGGAAGGUCCCCCACACUGGUACUGAGACACGGACCAGACUCCUACGGGAGGCAGCAGUGAGGAAUAUUGGUCAAUGGUCGGGAGACUGAACCAGCCAAGCCGCGUGAGGGAUGAAGGUACAGAGUAUCGUAAACCUCUUUUGUCAGGGAACAAAGGCGGGGACGUGUCCCCGGAUGAGUGUACCUGAAGAAAAAGCAUCGGCUAACUCCGUGCCAGCAGCCGCGGUAAUACGGAGGAUGCGAGCGUUAUCCGGAUUAAUUGGGUUUAAAGGGUGCGCAGGCGGUCUGUUAAGUCAGCGGUCAAAGCCCGGGGCUCAACCCCGGCCCGCCGUUGAAACUGGCAGUCUCGAGUUGGAGAGAAGUAUGCGGAAUGCGCGGUGUAGCGGUGAAAUGCAUAGAUAUCGCGCAGAACUCCGAUUGCGAAGGCAGCAUGCCGGCUCCACACUGACGCUGAGGCACGAAAGCGUGGGUAUCGAACAGGAUUAGAUACCCUGGUAGUCCACGCAGUAAACGAUGAAUGCAGGCUGUCCGGGGGGGAUUGACCCCUGGGUGGCGAAG